rnacentral:rRNA from 1 species
AACAUGUCUGUGUGAAAUUAAUUAUAAAGUCUAGCCUGCCCACUGAUUGAUUUAAAGGGCCGCGGUAAUUUGACCGUGCGAAGGUAGCAUAGUCAGUAGUCUUUUAAUUGGAGGCUUGAAUGAAUGGUUGGACGAGGGAUAAGCUGUCUCCUUUGCGUANUUUGAAUUUAACUUUUAAGUGAAAAGGCUUAAAUUAUUUAGUGGGACGAUAAGACCCUAUAAAACUUAAUAUGAGNUGNGUUUGAUUUGUGAUAUGGGUGAAAAAUAGUUUUACUUGGUUCGUAUUUCGUUGGGGAGAUGAGGAUAUAAGAUGUAACUGUCCAUNGAAUUUAAUAGUGUUAAUUAGUGUUUGAUCCUUCUGUGNGGAUUAAGAGAAUAAGUUNCUUUAGGGANAACAGCGUAAUUUUCU